rnacentral:rRNA from 1 species
GAUGAACGCUAGCUACAGGCUUAACACAUGCAAGUCGAGGGACCGGCGCCCGGGCGAGUAACACGUAUCCAACCUGCCCUUUACUCGGGGAUAGCCUUUCGACAGAAAGAUUAAUACCCGAUAUAAAGGAUGGGGAUGCGUUCCAUUAGGUUGUUGGUAAGGUAACGGCUCACCAAGCCUUCGAUGGAUAGGGGUUCUGGGAGGAAGGUCCCCCAGAUUGGAACUGAGACACGAUCCAAACUCCAAGCAGAGGCAGCAGUGAGGAAUAUAGGUCAAUGGGCACUAGCCGGAAACGGCCAAGUAGCGUGAAGGAUGAAGGCUUGUGGGUCGUAAACUACUUUUAUAUAAGGAUCUGUAUUAUAUGAAUAAGGCACGGCUAACUCCGUGCCAACAGCGGCGGUAAUAC